rnacentral:lncRNA from 1 species
UUUCAAUCCAGUCUGUAUGGUCUUACAAUGUCUGUACUCUAUACCAUUCUAGGAUGGCAAAUCGAAUUAUUUACAAGUGACAACUCGAGUACAUGGCACUGCUAGCCUGGAGACCUGUAUUGAAAAGGAUUCUGAGACAAAAGUUGUAUCUGAGACAAUAGGACUUUAUGCCAUCAUCACUUAUCAGCAUCGUCCACAGACAUAGGGUGGAAAAGUGGUGAAACCAGGUCCAAAUCUCUGUCUAUACCAUUCACCUUCUAAAUAUAUGCCGCAAAAGUACAUAUGGCUAAAUGCUUUGUACAUUUAAUGGUACUCUACAAUUAGUUUUCUUAAUUUUUUCUAUUAUUCAAAUAUUUUUCCAACUCCUUAAACAACUAACAACUGAAACGAAUAAGAUUUGUAUGUCAUUCAAAAGUAAGCACAACAAUGGAAACUAAUCUAUAAUGAAUUUUUCUGAGAAAAAAAAUCUUUCUAAAAUGCAAAUCUGAUGAUUACCAGACCUCUUCAUUGAGACCAUCCCCCCACAUCUUUAUUUAUUUUUAGAUGUAGAUAGACACAAUACCUUUAUUUUAUUUGUUUAUUUUUAUGUGGUACCAGGGAUUGAACCCAGUACCCCAUGCUGUUCCCUCACGUGUUAAUCCAUUUGGGCUGCUAUAACAAAAUAUCAUAAACUAGUUGUUUGUUUGUUUAUUUAUUUUUGGUGCUGGGGAUUGAACCCAGGGCCUGUGCAUACAAGGCAAGCACUCUACCAACUGAGCUAUAUCCCAGCCCUAAGCUAGCAGUUUAUAAACAACAGAAAUUUAUGACUCACAGUUUGGAAGCUGGGAUGUCUAAGAUAUAGGCUCUGGAAGAUUUAGUGUCAGGUGAGGGCUCACUUCCUGGUUCCUAGAUGGUUGCCUUUUUUGCUAAAAUUUCAUAUGGAGAAAGGUGCACAGGAUCUCUCUGAGGUGAUGGGUUUUUGUUUGUUUGUUUGUGUUUUUGUUUUUGGUACUGGAGAUUGAACCCAGGGCCUGGCACAUGUUAGGCAAGUGCUCUAUUCCCUGAGCUAUACGCCCAGCCCUUCUGAGGUCUUUUUUUUUUUUUUUUUUUUAGGGAUACUAAAAUCACCUAUGAGGGCUUGCCCCUCAAGACCUAAUCACCUCCUAAAGAUCCUACAUCCUAAUGCGAGACUCGUGGGUUUGAGGAUCUCAACAAAUGAAUUUUGGCAGAAUGUAAGCAUUGCAGCUCAUUGCAUACCCUGCUUUCCCCACCCGCCCAAAGCUUUCAAUCAUUUCAGUGGCUUCUUAUGGUCCUAUGUUCUUAGAAUUACCUGGGUAUGCUAUUUACAAACUCCUGUAUGAACUGGCUUACUUAACUCUCUGGUUUCACUCUUAUUUUCCCCCUUUCAUCAUGAUCUAUUUCCCUACCUACCUCCCCUAGCCUUUGUCCUCCAUUCCAGAAGCGAUAUUAAAUUUCCCUCAGAUUUCCCAUCUCAUGCUUUGCCAUUGCAGUUCUUAGCCAAGCUGUCACUUGACGAGUACAGAAGCCUUCUCACUGCUGUCCUGAGAUACGCAGUCUGAGAUAAUUACUAUCCAAUGUGUAUUAUCUCACUGCAUGAAUAUAUUCAUGUACUGUCUUGGCCUAUUUUCUGUUGUUAUAACAAAAUACCGGAGGUGCAAAGAAAGAAAGUUGGUUUAGCAUAUAGUUUUGGAGGUUGAGAAUCCAAUAUUGGGCAGACCCUAUCUUGUGAGGUUCCCUUGGCUUCAUCAUAACAUGUUAGAGAAAUGGAAAGGGAACUGGCAUGUGCAGAAUAGGCCAACAGCAUGGUUUUAGCAACCUGCUCUCAAAGAACUCACUUAAAGACCAGCAUUAAUCCCUCCGAGGGCAGUGCCUCCCCUGAUGUAAUUGCCUUGCUCUGGGCCCUGCCUUUUAAAGUUGCUUCCAUG